UCCCCUUUUUUUUAAUGGUUUCCAUCUAGUUCUACACUUACGGAGGCCCCUCCUGGCUCCCACUCCCGACCUGUCUCUCUCCUCUCCUUCCACCUUCCUCCACUUCUCGAACCGAAUACAUCGCGACCAAAGCUUUUGCCAUAUCCAAACCCUAGCUGUCCUCGAUUGCUCUCCGCGCUUUGAUGCCCUUCUUCUCAUGAACCCUAAUCGUUCCGAACCCUAACUGUCCUCAAUUCUCGUAGCGGUCGCUUAGAAGGUCCGCAAUCCCUCGCCGCAACGGGUUUUCUCGUGAGGAGAGGACGGAUGCGUCCGGAGUCGAUGCAUUUUGUCGUGAUUUCUUCCCCAUUGGUGAUCUCAUAAAGAUAAGCAUGCUUCCUUUUUUUUUUUCUAGAUUUCAUCAACUUGCCUCUAAUUCCAAUUCCUCCUUUUUGUUCCCUGCCUUUAUUUUUGGUACCUCAUUAAUAAAAAGCGAACUUUUGGCCACAACUCUAGGGUUGGAAGAUAAUGAUUUAGUUAGUUAAUGGUAUUUAAGUUGGAUGACACAAAAAUCUCAAUUUUUUUAGAACAAUCAUGCAAUUUGGCCCAGUUUGGUCCAUAUUCUUUAUACCAUAUUAACAAGCACGCAAUUUAAACGUGCCGCAUAAACUAGAAAAUGAGUGAAUUUGUUAAGCUGGCAUUCUCAGAUCUUGAGUUGUUGAGUUAUUUUAAUAGGUAAUAAUAUUCUGAUUGGAUAUAUGAACUAGGACUUAUUGGUACACGGCCCAAGUAUUUUAGGAUCUAGAUACUUAAAGUGCCGUGGGUUGCCUUCCCUUUUUCUCUCAUUUCACAGCUCUGGGAUGGUUUGUGUCAAGCUCUACUUGACUUUCUUAUAAAAAUGUCUUGCAAGGCAGUAAAGUCAACCACCAGUACAUCUCAAUUUUUAUGCCUGGACUUGUUUAAACCAAGUAAACUCUCAUUACAAGCUCUAGUAGCUGGAAUGCCAUAUUCUUAUGUAGUUAUUUAUAUAUCUAUAUGGCUCCAUAUCUAAACUAUCAGAAAAUAAUACCCCUUUUUACAGAAUCUUCCUUGCUGUCCAAGGGAUCAUAUUGGUUAGUACCGACAGGCUGAAGAGAUGGGAACAGCUCAGUAGCCAUAAGCACACUGGGUAAUCUACCGUCAACCACCUCCAACAUUACUUAAGUUUGCUGCAUUCUCCCAAGAAGGCCUUAAUGUAAGGGAUUUAGUAGUUCUACAAGGUGAAGGAAAAUGGAGGGCUUACUCUUUAAGGUGGAUUUCAAGAAGGCUUAUGAUCUUCUUGACUGGGACUUCUUGCUUGCUAUCCUGCAUGCCCGAAGUUUGGGAAGACGUGGAUUAAUUGGGCCUAUAGCUGUGUUUGCAUUUCAAAGAUUGCAGUUCUGGUGAAUGUCAAGUUGGGCAGCACCUUUCCUUGUAAACACUGGCUGAGGCAGGCAACCCCAAUUCAUGAUUGGUUUGUGUUUGCUGUGGAUGUCUUACAUCAAAUGCUCAAUUGGCUGAGGAAACUAGAUUGAUCAAGGGUCUUGGAGAUAAGCUAGCGGCCGGUGGGGUUAUCAAUAUGCAAUAUGCAGAUGGUACCUUGCGUUUUACAAAGCUCAGGAGGAGUUUGUGGCCGGCCUUAAAUUGGCUCUCUAUUGUUUUGAAGGCCUAUCUUGGUCCCAUCAAAACAGAAGGCCUAUCUGGGCUCAGGGUGAAUUUUCACUAGAUUGAGUUGGUUUUCCUUGGCUGCAGGGAUGACUGGGGACACUGACUUGCAAGACUAAUGAAUUGCAAGCAGCAAUUUCUACUUCUAAAUUUUUUUGGGGCUACCAUUGAUCAACAAAAAGCUAAGUCAUGAGGAUAGGGACCAGGUGAUCGAGAUGGUGGACUCCACGCCUGCUGGUUGGAAAUGACACAUUAUCUUAUGGUGGUCGUUUAAUGCUACUCCAGUCUAACUUCAGCAUUCUUGAUGUACUUCAUGUCAUUUUUCCUGAUGCCUGCUUGUUAUCUGGCUUAUCGAUGCUAUAUGCUGCCGCCUUUUCUCUUGGCAAGGAUGUCCGCUCAACUGCAGGCCGGUGAGUUCAGUUUCUUGGGUCAAGUCUGCAAGACUAGAGAGCAGGAAGGUCUUGGCACUGUGAACCUAAGGGAGUUCAACUUGGUGUGGAAGUGGCUUUGACAAGUAGUGUAAGAAGUGAAUGCUCCUUGGGUUGCCUUGAUUUGAGGUGCAUAUUAGCGGUGUUUGCUGCCAUGAGAUUUCAAACUCUGUUGCUCUCAAAGAGUUCCUAAUUUUGGAAAGAUGUACUUAAAGUGGCCCCCAGUUUCUCUUGCAGUUUAAAACCAAGGUUGGAAGCUAUGUUCUGGAAGGAUAAACAGGCUGGAGAUUCUGCACUUGCUGCGAGGCUCCCUUGUCUAUAUGUUGCUGCUUGGAAACCAGAUGGUUGGGUAGCUGAGUUUUGUAAGCAGAGUGAGGGCAGUCUGUUUUGGAACCCAAAUGUUAAAGGCACCUCUAAGAUCCAGCCUCGGCAGCAAGCUCUGUUUGCAUUGCUCCAGUUCUUGAAUAUCGUUUCUGAUUUGUUUCACCACUCCCUGUUUGCUUGGAAGUGGGGUGCCAAGGGCUUCUUCGUUUCCGUCCGUGGUUCUUUUCAGUUUCUGAAUAGCAGUGGGCUUCUGAGCUCAACUGUGAGAAGCUUAUGGCAGAGAAAAAAGGUUUCUGCUGGCGAGAUCCGGAGUUAGCCGAUCACAUGUUCCUUUGACGUCAGUUUGGUAGACCUGUUCGGCUCUCUUAGAAACUUUAAAUUCUAGUUGAAGGGUUGGCCUGGCUCUCUAUGGUCUCUGUCGACCGAACCUUGCAAGCAAAGGGUGCUCGCUAAGAUACAGAUGGAUUAUGAUUGCUUCCCCUUUGCUGUGCUGGGCUAGAUAACUUGAAUGCAUGCCAGAAUUUUUACACAAGGAGAAGAUCAGGAGAGUGCUCUUCAAACCCUUCACUCCAUUAAUGACUUCAUCUCUGAAUGGACAGGUGCUGAUCCGAUUCGAGGAAAGAAAGGGAGCCAUGCCAGGGAUGAUCUUGCCUGCGUCCCGCUUCCCUGUGCUGCCCCUUCUCAACCUCAUCCACCUCCAAGGGUAGGUGACUGUUGUUUCUGUGUUGCUAGCUUUUCUCUGCUGGGGAUGAGGGGAGACAGUUUUCUUGAUACCAUGAUUCUCUAGCGUUUUCUUUUGUUUUUAUGCUGCGUGGGAUGGCCUGGUUGGGCUUUGGGGGCUUUCGGUUGGUACUUUUGGUUUGUUGUGCACAAGAGGGUCACCCAGGAGUCUAUCCAGGAGGGAGCUGGCAUGCAAAACUCAUUUCAUUUCUUCUUUCUUUCUUUCUUCUUAUUUUUCUUCCGUUUUUUAUUUUUAUUUUUUGAUGUAAAGGGGAGGCAAAAGGGGCCACCUGACUUUUAUUGAAAAUUAAUUGUAUUUACAAUAAAGAUGAGGGGCAGAGAUGAGUUACAUUGUCAA